CCCUGUAUUCGAAAGUGAUCGUGGGCUGCCCGUGCCCUGGUCAUUGAUAGUGCAGGGAGAGGAAUCGAUGAAAGUGCUUCCCCGUGUUUGGAGGGUCCACUCCUGUCCCUUGCAAACUCUGGAGCUUUUGUACA
ensembl:snoRNA SNORA71 Small nucleolar RNA SNORA71